rnacentral:tRNA from 1 species
UAGCUCAAUUUGGCAGAGCAGGGGACUCUUAAUCCCUUGGUUGCAGGUUCGAGUCCUGC